UAGUAUCACGCAAACGAAAGUUUACUCUCUUCCUGUUUUCACCAGUUUUCAAUUGACAGAUAGCUACUUCUCCAAGAUCUACCACUUGGCCCAUAACAUCUGUUUAAGCAACAUAAUAAAUUCAAAUAACUAUAAAGUGCUACACACAAAAUAGAAAGUAAAGUGAGGAUCGUUUUUGGUGCAUACCAAUCAGAAAAAAUGUUUUGAGCUUUCCUGUUACAAUUUCCUCGUAACUUGCUAGAGAGAGGAACUGAUUUUCAUCACGAUAAUCAGUAGGUUUUAUCUUGGUAUCUCCAAUGACGGUGAGUUUGUAUUGAAAUUUUGAUGGUCUAUAUUGACCUCCAGCAGCUGAAAUCUUAAAGUUUUCAAGCUCUCUCCAUUCUCCCAGCUGUAUAUCGCGUUGUACACGAUACAUCAGAGUUCUUUUGCAUGAGGCAUGAAUUUUUUGACCCUGCAAAAACGUAGUAUUAGAUUCAAUAUAAUUUGGGAUGCCUUAAUUAAAUUAAUUAUAAACCUUAUGAUCUUACCGUUUCGUCAGCGAAGAUGCACUCAAGAGAUUCGCCCCCAUAAUCAGUCUUUGUUUUCCAUGUAUGAAGAAGCUUGAGUCGAAUUCGCCAUUCCUCUUUAAAAGGCUUGAGAUCAUUGAUAAGAACCAUUUUUCUUGAGGCAGACAUGUUUGUUUUAUGAGAUGUGUGUGGAUGUUAAAGCCGUCUUGGAUUCGGUAUAUAUAGAUAAGUGAAUAAUUUAGGUCAAGAGGAGUUAUGGACUGGUUAGAUUUAGUGCGUAUAUUCUCUGAUUUUAUAAUUGAUCUGUUGUAAAUAUUAUAGGAUUCGUUGUAAAUAUUGUUAAAUAGGUUGUCCGAAAUUAUGGUAACUAAUUUAGUUUUAAUCCGAACUAAAUUAUGAGACAAUGUAAUCUACAGCAAAAAGAUAUGCACCUUGGUAUUCACGUUUACUUAGGUAACAUCUUUUGUAAAUCAAAUAUUUUGAGAAGAUAUAGAACUGAUUUAGAAAUAUGGUUAUAAUUGCUUGCAAGGAGUUAUUGCGUGGUUAGAUUUUAUGCGUAUAUUCUCUGCUUUAAAUAUGUUAACUAAUUCCUAUAUUUUGUAAAUAUUAUGAGAGUGGUAUUUUAAUAUUGUUAUAUAUGUUGACGCAGAUCAUGGUAACUAAUUACGAAGGCAGCGGACGGAAAUUAUGAGGCAAGGUAGUUAGAGUGGAACUGGUGACAAUGGAAUUCGCUGUGAUGGACAUCUUGUAUAGAUGCCUAGUUGGUCUGUAUAUCCCGGUUGCUGGGUAAACCAAGAAAUUCUCGAGGAACUUCCAUUGAUCAACCUGUAAGUUCUUAACACGGCCAAGGAAGGCACUCUUACAGGUACAAUGUAUCUCAGAUCCCUACAAUAACAAUUAGAACUACAUUGGUUAGUCGUUGGCAACACAAAAUUCUAGAAAACAAAUAGAUUCAAACAAAAAACAUACCAUCCUAUCUUCAAGUAUGAACUCGAAAGUGUCUUCUCCAGAAUAGUUUGAAUGUUGUGUCCACGAAUGAAGAACUUUCACUUCAACCUUCCAAGUAGUUUUAUAUGGUUUGAGAUUGUUCAACAUAGUGAUUUCGCUGUUUGUAACCAUAGCCAUAGUAAGUUAAAAAGAAAAGGUCGCCGACUGCUAAUAAGAACCUAACAGAACUUUUAUAAUUGUUUUUUUUUUGUGGUGAGGUGUGGAGAAAUCUAGAUUAUAUAGGUAGGUGAUUAAUAUAGGUUAUAAGGUUAGCUAAACCAUAUCGUUUAGAAGAUAAAUGGGCCACGAGAAUUUGCAAUUUUUAUAAAGGUUUAUGCUUGUUUAAAAAUAUACAAACAGUAAUUAAACCUGUAGCCAAACAAUAUUCACUUAAUAUACUAUCCAUAUUGCCAAACAAUCUCAAUGUGUACUUCAACUUUAAUAAUAUAGAUAAUAGUUUAUUAGUACAAUAGUUGAUUGGUUUUGACACUAAUAAUUGUUGGAAUUUAGAUAGUUAAGAGAAAAAUCAGUAGAAAUUUGGGUUUAUGAUGUAUUAUUGUGAUAUAUUUAAACAAAAAGAAAGUUUCAAUACGCAGAAAAAUAAUUAAGAAUAAUAUUAAAAAUAUUAAAAAUUUGAUUUGAUGUAUCCAAAUAAAAUGAGACUAUAUUAUAUUUAUAGAUCAUGGAAAUCAUGAAUUUUGAAAUAAAUUUCCAGAAAAUAUAGUUUACUACGAAAUAAUUGAGCUCUAAGAGCACCUCCAACCAUUAAGAAUUUUUAUUAGAGCUCUAUCAAAAAAGCAAUAUAAAAUUAAUAGUUUAUUUAGAAUUAAGUUAAAUAAUAAAUAUUUGGACAUUUAAAAAAAUCUAACAAAUCAUAGGUGGACAUGUGGGCUUUGGGUAUUUGGAGAAGUUCUCAAAGUUGUUUUGGAGAGAAACUAAUUCUAAACUCUCUAUCUCUCUCUCUCUUUUUCUAAUUUUUAUUUUAUUUUAAAAUAGUUUGGAAACUCUUCUUAGUACUACCAUUGUAAGUGCUCUAAUAAUUAAAAAAAUACAAAUUUUUAAAAAUUAACAACAAAUGAAAAUAUAAUACCUCCAAAAUAGAUAAUUCUAUGUCAGAUUAUGGUCCAUUCUUCCAACUAUUUUUGCACCCAAACUUUACCAUGUGUCAUUGUAGAUCAUAUUACUUUGGUAUUUAAACAAAAUUAAUCCUUAUAUGUUUUCAACAAUUUAAUUGCUUCAUACUAUAGAUUAAACAGUUGAAUGAGAGAUUUAACAACCUCAUUCCUAUUGCCUUAGUAAACUUUUCAUUGUUAAUAGAAGAAAUGUAGAAUAAUUCUAUAGAAUUCAACCAUAUUAUUUUUCUAAUGCCGAAUUCGGAGUUGGUACAAGUUUUUUUUUAAAUUUAAUUUUUUAGAUUUUUUGGAUAUCAAUGUUUGGAUUCAGUUGAGAAAAAACUCAUAACUCAAAAUACCGUAGAACAAGACUCAUUCUGUAUUUAUGUCGAAUUUAAUUCAGUUCUGAAUUUAUUUUUAUCGAGUCAGAUAUGUUUGAGUUUUCGAGUUCGGUUUAUUUGCUCACCAGGCUUUAUACCAAUCACAUUAACUUUUUGGCUAAAACUUCAACUUCAACCACAUUGACUUAGUGAAUGAAAAUAUAUAAAUACCAAAACAGUUGAUAAUUCAUAUGAGAGGAUAAUCCCUAAUGAAACAAUUUUUAGAGUUAAAAGUUUAGCCAUUCACAACUUUCUGUCUUAUAAAUUUGUUUCUAUACUAUUGUAUUUUAAAGUUUGAAUAGUAUUGUUGUAUUCUACACUAAACAAAUACUCCCUCUAUUUCAAUAUAGAUAAUGUUUUAGGUGAUUGUUUUUGUUUCACAAUAGAUGAUGUUUUCAUAUAUUUAGGUAACUUUAACUUUAUGAAAAACUGUGUAAUCAAUUGUAUAUUUAUUAUUUUUAUUUAUAAUUAAAUAAAUUAGUUUUAAAUUAUAUUUUAAUGACUUUUGUUUAGAAAAUAUAAUUUUCUUAAUAUGUGUGCAAAGAACCAAAACUUCAUCUAUUAUGAAACAAAGGGAGUAUGAAAUUUGAAGUGGAGUAACUAAUAAUAUUGUGGUUUACCACCAACUGGUCCCAACUAUGCAAGAAAAAGGCAGACGUAGGUUUCUAUAUUUGGCAACAUCGAUUAAUGAGUCAAACGUGUUGGUGUCAUCAACGCACCUCUAUCAUCUUUCUGCGAAACUUCACAUUUUCCUAAUUUGUUCAGCAAAGCUUUGGUCAGAUUGCAAUGGCCAAUGGGUAUAGGUCCUUAGGAUAACAUUAUUAGGAGUCCCUUAAAGCAUUCCUUAGGGAAAGGAGGUGGGGACCGAGAAAGAAAGAGAAGGGAAAAGCCCUUAAUUAAGGGCUGUCCCUUACUCUUUAAUGACCAAA